UUCCAGAUUAUCUUAAAGCCGUACUCGUCGCCGUCCUCGUUGCCGACUUACCGUCCUUGUUGCCGUGAGUUUGGGGCUAGGGUUCUAAGAGAUGGGUUUGGGGAAGAAAUGAGAGGAGAAAGAUGGAAGCCGUACUCGUCGCCGUCCAUGUUGCCGACCUACCGUUCUUUUUGCCGUGAGUUUGGAUUUAGGGUUCUAAGAGAUGGGUUUGGGGAAGAAUUGGAGAGGAGAAAGAAUGGAGAAGAACCAGACAGAGAGAAAGAACAAGG